AGCUGACAAAAGGUGAUUGGAGAUGAAACAUUACCCAGGGAAGUUCUCCUCUGAUAUUUCAUCAUGGCAUGGAGGUGACCCUCGUCUUUAACGGCUAUGUCAGUGGAAUAUAAGUGAACAUCUGCUCUGUGAGGAGGUGGGUAGCAUUCUCCACGAUGGCUUCUCUGGAAUCAUGGUUAACCAUUGUGAUGAUCGGCUGUCUAGUACGUUGUGAAGGAGCUAUGACCAGCAUCACCGGAGGGAGUGCCUUUUACCAGCAAAAUCACAAAUUCUUGAAGUAGGAAAGCAUCACCAUUACACCUUGUCUUUUGGAAAUAUCUUGCCUAUUGGGAACAAACAAUUUCAUUCUGGAAGCCCUUCUCCCAACCCAACAGCAAAUCACACAAGACCAAGAAGAAUGAGAUGUACGAUUAAGAAAAUACUGUGCACCAGAGAAUUUGAGAAAUGCACAUGCAGACAUUAAACUGUGGCAGCAUUAUCUAUUAAUAUCCCCUCGGCUUGCACAGGACUUCUAUUCAGCCACAGGGAGCUGUGACAGAGAAAUAAUAAGCUCCUCAAAGCAAGCACCUAGUUUAAGGAAGGCUUCAGCUUGGUUGGUUUCCUCGUGACUUCAGCUUCCUUAAAUUUCUGUCACUGGUACAAGCACAACACAUUCACUAUCAUGGGAAUGAUAGAAAUGACUUAAAGUGACUGCUAUCCAACCCAUAGUGCUCAACAUCUAAUCUAUGAGAAUUUAGAGCCCAUAGAGGAUUCAUUCAUCUCUCAUCUUUCUUUACUUUUUUUUUUUGGU